GUUCGGAUCGCAGGCUGCAACCCGCCUGCGUGAAGUUGGAAUCGCUAGUAAUCGCGGAUCAGCAUGCCGCGGUGAAUACGUUCCCGGGCCUUGUACACACCGCCCGUCACACCAUGAGAGUCGGGAACACCCGAAGUCCGUAGCCUAACAGCAAUGGGGGCGCGGCCGAAGGUGGGUUCGAUAAUUGGGGUGAAGUCGUAACAAGGUAAC
rnacentral:rRNA from 1 species